GGCGGCCUUUAUCUUGCUGUUUGUUUUUUGUUGCGUGUGAUGGUAGGUAGAAGGUGGUCCAUGUGAUGUCGGAUAUGCAACCUCUGCAACUGCACCGCCGGAUGAAGGGUAGUUGGUGCUAUCGUCGAAGGUUCGCAACAUGUACGAAACCAUAAUCACGGACAAUGGCAAUCACGGAAUAACUACUGUUGUGAAGAAAGGCUGCAGAUCCUAGACUGUCCCAUGUGUAGGCAUAUUGCGUUGGUACCACAUCUUGUAUGCAAGUCGAGAGUAAGCAACCGACCGGAGCGGAAGGCAUUAUUGCGAGUUUGAACAGGGAGCGACGGAACAAUCGAUGGUUCUAGGACUCUACAACAUGCACACAUAGUGUGUGCAAUUCCUUGACGAGUUUUGCCGGAAUGGCCAAGCCGACUACGAGGAGGAAGACCCAAUCCAAUCCAUAUGGCUUAAAAAAACCGCAAGACUAGCUAACGUGAUCUCAGGUUGGCAUAUUAUUGAUCUGAUCUCAAGGGCAGAGCUCUUGCAUGGCGCCGUACAGAAUGUGUCGAGUUACUGGAACGCUGGCUGCGCUGCUCAGCAUUGAUAUAUGAUUUCGAUACCUGAGAACUCCUACAAACGAUAGGUUACUUGGGAGCUGGGAGUUGCUAGUUGCAGAGAAGUCUACAUUUCGAUCCUCUCCUACUACUUUUGCUUGACGGUUCAUAGAUCUUACGUUACAUACCAUUUCGUUGGUUUUGCUUGAGUUGACGCUGUGAAUCUGUCUACGGCAUAGAGAAAGAAAAGAAAAUAAACAAUUUUUUUAGCAAACUUAA